GAGGGAAGUAACUCCUGUAGGUUGUUUCUACAUUGACAUUUCUAAUUGCCCCUGGCUCCGAUGUAUGGUUCAGACAUCAGAUAAUAUGUGCUUAGUGCUAUUUUAGAGGCUUAAGAUUUUCUUAUUUAUAUAAAAAAUUAACCAUGCAGCCAGGGAGUCAGACUAAUGCUGCGGACGUGUCAUACACAUGUAGAGCUCUGUGUAUGUAUUAUGCAGGAUUAUCUUGAAAUAAAGUCCCGUAGAUGUAGGGCCUAAUUUACUUUUGUACCUAACCCUUUACAUCAUUUUUUUCGACAUUUAAACUACUGCGAUCAAUAUAAUUAUAGAAAUACACUUCUUGGCGGAGCAAACUACACGCGAUAACCAGAGUGACAGUUACGUCAUUAACUACCUGCGUUUGAUGUAAACGCCCAUUCGGUGAGCUUUUCUGAAAAUGGCAGUAGCCCAACUGAUACGUGAUUUUGUAAAGCAUCUUCAAAUACUGUGCUGUGAAAUUAUUGGUGACGCAAUAACGACCAAUCAAAGACUCGUUGACAACAGGUCGGAGAUAGUGGUGUUUAUCUACAUAGCGUUACACAAAAUGUAGAUAGAUCUACAUGCGGAUUUAUUCAGUUUCAACGCAGGACAUUUAACAUUCUUGAGAUAAAGAAGGUAGGGCAAGAAAAUGGCUGUCUGAACUCUGGACAAAAAAUGAGCAUGCAUUGAUAGAACAUCAUUUAAUUCCCAGGGGCCUCCGUGACCAAGUGGUUAAGGUCGUUGACUUCAAAUCACUUAAUUUGCUCCUCAUUGAUGUGGGUUCGAGCCUCACUCGGAGUGAUAAAUUCUUCAUGCCCAGUGGUUACAAUUCUGGCCAGGCAUUGGAUCUGUAUAAUGAACUUGAAGACAGAACGAGUUUCCUGACACAGGAUACAUAUAUGUAACUGCAGGGCCUGCUCUGGGUGAGAUUUUCUUUGAGCUAAUUGGAUGUCGCAGUUGUGGGGCGGGGCACGGGGCUGUUUUCGGGAUGAAAUUUUUAGUGAAUUUCAAGUGUGAAUGGUGCUAUGAUAGCUAUUUUGAGCAUUAUUUUUGUUUUUUUACUGGGAGAACAUAACUAUACUGUAACAUACUAUAACAUAUAAGAUAAAUCAGAGUUUUAACUGUAUCAUAUAACUUAUUUUACAACCAUUUCAUCACACAUGAAAUGUUACAGCACUUAAUACUUAACACUAAACAGUUAACAACCAGAACAAAACAAUGUUUGUACAUGACACACACUACAAAACAUUAAGUUAUGUAAGGAAUUAAUGUUAGUUUUAGAAAAUUGCGUUUAUUCGUAAAGUUAUGGUCAUACUUCAGUUUUAUUUAGGUACAGGGAUUGGGAAAAUGGUAAUGUAAGGCCAGAAACCCUAUGAAAUAUUAACUGAAAGGUUUAUGCAAGGUAAUAAUCGUCUGCCUACCAAAACAGUACAUCGAUAUUCAUAGACAACAUGAAACCUCAGAAAAGCAAAAAUAAAAAAUAAGCACAUUUUGGUCAAAAAACACCAAAAAGACAUUGUCAGAACUAUUUUUGAAAAUAUUUACUGAAAGAGUUCAUGAAGAAACUUUAUAUAAUUUGACAAAGUUCACACUAAUCCGUCCGUCCGGAAACAUAUCUAGGAAGUAGUUUGGGCUAUUUAAAUAAAACUUCAUA